CACCCACAAGCCGCUCAACAACUACUUGGCGCCGGCGCGAGAGUCACAAUCAACUUGCUCCGGCCAACUGCUGCUGAAGAAGGCAACAUUCACAAGAACUUACAUCUUACUUGCAUGCCGAAGGUCAUGGCCAGAAGAAGUGGAUGCCAGCAAGCGAGAUCUGUCAAUGGAAACAUACGUAAGAUGGCAAGAGUAAAGAAAGAGUGCAACAAGAGGAGAAAAUCA